UACGAAGGGGGCUAGCGUUGCUCGGAAUCACUGGGCGUAAAGCGCACGUAGGCGGCUUGCUAAGUCAGGGGUGAAAUCCUGGAGCUCAACUCCAGAACUGCCUUUGAUACUGGCGAUCUCGAGUUCGGGAGAGGUGAGUGGAACUGCGAGUGUAGAGGUGAAAUUCGUAGAUAUUCGCAAGAACACCAGUGGCGAAGGCGGCUCACUGGCCCGAUACUGACGCUGAGGUGCGAAAGCGUGGGGAGCAAACAGG
rnacentral:rRNA from 1 species